ACCCCACUAUGCCCAUUUACAAACUUUUUACUUACACCCAAAUCGCCAGGGAACUACGAGCAAAGCUUAAAACCCAAAGGACUUGACGGUACCCCACAUCCCUCUAGAGGAGCCUGUCUCAUAAUCGAUACUCCCCGCUCCACCUCACCACUCUUUGUUUCCCAGCCUGUAUACUGCCGUCGUCAGCUUACCGCAUGAGCGAACAAGUAGGCCCAAUGUGACCAACAAAACGCCAGGUCAAAGUGCAGCAAAUAAAGUGGAAGAAGAUGGGCUACACUCUCUACCCUAGAGAACACGAAAGACUUCAUGAAACUUUGGUCAGAAGGCGGAUUUAGCAGUAAGGCGAAAUAGAAUAUUCUCCUUAACCUAGCACUGGGGUG
rnacentral:rRNA from 1 species